UUGAGUGCAGAAGAGGACAGUGGAACUCCAUGUGUAGCGGUGGAAUGCGUAGAUAUAUGGAAGAACACCAGUGGCGAAGGCGGCUGUCUAGUCUGUAACUGACGCUGAGGCUCGAAAGCAUGGGUAGCGAACAGGAUUAGAUAUCCUGGUAGUCCAUGCCGUAAACGAUGAGUGCUAAGUGUUGGAGGGUUUCCCCCUUCAGUGCUGCAGCUAACGCAUUAAGCACUCCGCCUGGGGAGUACGACCGCAAGGUUGAAACUCAAAGGAAUUGACGGGGGCCCGCACAAGCGGUGGAGCAUGUGGUUUAAUUCGAAGCUACGCGAAGAACCUUACCAGGUCUUGACAUCUUCUGCCAAUCUUAGAGAUAAGACGUUCCCUUCGGGGACAGAAUGACAGGUGGUGCAUGGUUGUCGUCAGCUCGUGUCGUGAGAUGUUGGGUUAAGUCCCGCAACGAGCGCAACCCUUAUUAUCAGUUGCCAGCAUUCAGUUGGGCACUCUGGUGAGACUGCCGGUGACAAACCGGAGGAAGGUGGGGAUGACGUCAAAUCAUCAUGCCCCUUAUGACCUGGGCUACACACGUGCUACAAUGGACGGUACAACGAGUCGCGAAGUCGUGAGGCUAAGCUAAUCUCUUAAAGCCGUUCUCAGUUCGGAUUGUAGGCUGCAACUCGCCUACAUGAAGUUGGAAUCGCUAGUAAUCGCGGAUCAGCAUGCCGCGGUGAAUACGUUCCCGGGCCUUGUACACACCGCCCGUCACACCAUGAGAGUUUGUAACACCCAAAGCCGGUGAGAUAACCUUCGGGAGUCAGCCGUCUAAGGUGGGACAGAGAUUAGGGGAAGUCGUAACAAGGUAACCA
rnacentral:rRNA from 1 species